AAUAGAGCAGUGGAUGUUGUGUACUUUGACUUCAGCAAGGCAUUUGACACCAUCUGCUACAACAUCCAUAUGUUACGAAACUUACACAGUAUAGGACAGAUGGCAAGGUGGAUUGAAAACUGGCUGACUCACAGAACUCAGAGGGUUGUCAUCAGUGGCACUGUCUGGUUGGAGGCCUGUAACUAGCAGUGUUCCAUAGGGGUCACUGCUGGGUCUGGUCUUGUUCAGCAUAUUCAUCUGUGAACUGGAUGAAGGGAUAGUAGACAGUAGAGGCCCAAAAUUUGAACAGUUCCAUAUAAACAUGCAUAAGAAAUUCUAUAUGGUAAGGAUGAUGGAACACUGGAACAGGUUACCCAGAGAGGUUAUGAAGUCUUCUCUGGAGAAUUCAAGACCCGUCUGGAAGCCUACCUAUGCAAUCUAUUGUAGAGUACCUGAAGGGAGACUGGACUCGAUGGUCUCUUGAGGUCCGUACCAAAACCCACAAUUCUGUGAUUCUGUGAACAUUCCAUUCUAUGUUGUUGCCAUGUGACAGGUGGCAGCAGAGGGACAGUCUGACACAACCGUGUCUGACAUGAAUAUGCAUAUGAAGCAAAGCUGUGGAUCUGAAUUCCUCCAUGUGGAAAAAAUAGUAGACAUUGACAUUCAUUGACACUUGCUGAGCAUUUAUGGAGAUCAACCGAGUGUAUGACAAAUUCCAAGUUCUGGUUCAUUUGGAUUCUUCACUCCUAGCAGUAGAAGGUUAAUAUCCUGAAACAUGCAGGUCUGAUGAAGAACUGCUUCAGUUAUAACAAGUUGCAGUUUUAAGGUUUAUGGAGAAAUUGCGUGGAGAUUGUCACUCACUGUCAAUGUAUACAUGGGCUUUAGUCUCCAGAUGUCAUUUAUGUCGUCAGGGCAAAUCCGUACAUACUGAGCAAAGGUAGGUCUGUUUGGAUGUGUAUGUCAUUACUGGUCUGAAGCUGGUAGUUAUCCUGGGGACAUGUUUGGUCUUUUAGGUCUGGCUGUAUUGUACUGCUGGCGUGAAAACAAUUGUGUAUCAAGGACCAUUAGGUCAAUGUAAUUUUGCCUGUGAUUGCAGGGAGUCUCACAGUGCAGUAUAUCUUGUACCUAGAGAAAUCUUUUUGCCUGCAAAGUUUUGUCAGUGCUGAUAAACACUAAUGAAAACUGGCUCUGUUAGAUAGUGAAUUUGCCUGGGGACUUUUAAGUAUGUUGAUAAGUGUGAAUAUCCUUCGUAUACAAUUAGAAUAAUUGGGACACAGGUAAAGCAAGUAAUUUGCCCAGUGGUAAGGCCAUGGUAACAAAGGAGAUUGGGUAAGGAAAAAGGCCUACAAUGAAAGCGUUUCUUAUAGUCUGACAUUCAGGUUCACACCUCAGUCACUCUGCUUACCGAGACGCAUAUUGCUUAGAUGGGAUAUUUUAUCCCAGAUAGCCCAUAACUUGUGCGAUCAGUGGAGCACUGUCCAAGCAGGUGGUCAUUUCUGUGGUCAGGAUGUAAAUGGGGAGAUCAACUGAGGCUGGUGCACCAGCAAAGAAGGUGAUGGGAACCACACCACUGUCAUGAUAUAGCUUUAUUUUAGUCAGAAUCUUAUGACAGGCAUUUGGGAAGUAAAGCCAAUGUGAAAGUAUCAGCUCUGUAAAUAUGCCUGGAGUCAGUGAGAGCUGAAUGUAGGCAACUACCAUCAGAAUCAGGCUGCAGAUCUGCCCACCCUUCCCCUGCUCCUUCAGAGACACUAUGCUGCUUCUUUGCCUGCCCUGUUGUUGGUGUUGUAACAUUUAAUAAGCAUUAAUUAAGGUCUGUGGAGCACUUUGCAGACUCAGAGUGCUUUGUGAGGAGCUUAAGUAUCAUGAGUGAGGGCAAUACAAAAUUGCACUGCCAAGAAGGCAAAAAAAAAAAAAUGUCAGUAAUGUAUUUAGGUAAUACUGCAGUAAUAUUGUUGAAAGUCAAAGAAAGAACCAGUACCACUGUGGUAGCUACCACCGUGAUUAAAAUUCAAGAGGAUUUCUUGGCCAGGUACCCAAUUCAAGACAUUAAGCUUUAACAGAUAAGGGCCCUGGCUCAGAGGUUUUAUACUGCAAUACUCUGAAGAGCAGAAAACAAUACAGAAAGUCUGUUAAAACAAAACUUUAGAGAACCUUGGGAGAGAAUAUACACUUUAAUAAGCUUUUAUUCCUCUUUUUCUAAUGUAUUCCUCUGAGAGGCUGUUUCUGAAGAGUGGUGCAGUGAAAAAUUUGUAGUUUCACAUCAUUUUGAUGUGAAACCAGGCAAAUCUCAGCAGACAUAACAACAUGGGUUUGUUGCACUUAAAUGCAAACAUUUAUUUGUUUAUUUAUUUAUUCCUUGGCUGUUUCAGAGUGUCCUAGUUGGAUGGUAGAACUGUUUGAAAAAAAUGGAAAUACUUCUCAUAAAGUAACUAGAGAGAAAUGGUGAAAUAUUCCACGAAUUUUAACUAUAUGCAUGCUUUUGCUGUUUUUUUUUUUUUUUUUUUUUUUUUUUUUAAUCUUGCUACAUGCAGCAUUGCUCAGAGUAAUAACUUUCAGAGGUAGGAUUGUCUUUUUGCUCUGUAUUUCUACAUAACCUUGUAAAGUUUUUACAAAUCCUGGUGGAUCUCUACAACUUGCAGGCAAUAAUUAAAGGUGUGCACAUGAGGUUCUGCAAGCAGCAUCUAAAGCACCACAUUGGAGAUGAGAUGUACUUCAUUUUUACAAUUAGAAAAAUCAAGAGCACCAAAAUCACUUCUCUUCCGAUAUCUUUUCAUUUCUACUUUUCAACAUCUCAAAUUAGAGGAAAGUAGAGCUUGGAAAAGGCUUAAAUUCUGAUGGUUUGAGGAAGAGAGAUGGUUAUCAUUAUAGACUGAGUCAAAUAAGAUCAUUGAAUCCAUCAGUACACCAAUUUCCUUCUUUUCCUUUCAUUUCUUUAACUCACUGUACUAUAUAAAUUCCACUAUUAAAAGUGUUUAUUAAUGUACUGGCAGUUCUACUUUCUGUUUAUAUUCAGAGAGUUCUUUGCAGGGUUAUGUGAACAGAACACUCUUAUUCUUUUCUCAUCUGUUCAUGAACACAGCUAGGAGAAUGAGUUAGAUCUUCUGCCUUGCUCUCAACAAAAUAUCUGGAAAAGUUAUGAUCUUAGAAUCCUUAAUACUGGAGAAACGUAAAGGGCGAACCUUUACUUUCAAGUUCCAAAAGCUUCUCAGAGCCAGUUAUAAUAAAAUGCUUUAACUGUCACUUCUAAAUGGUCCAACUUAAGAGACAAUGAAGAGAUGGUAAAUAUAAUGCUCUUGAGACAAUACAUCCUGUUUAUUUUUCAGAGUAGAAAGGUCCUUUGAAAUAAUUUCACUCUCCUUCCAAUAAGAGUCCGAGUCACAUCCUGAAGUCAGCCAGGUGCAGGUCAGACAUCAUGCAGGAUUGUAAAAUUGGAGGGAAUUAGUCAGGGGCCAGGUGCUGUUCAGGGCCUAGAUGAGUAUCAGUCAGCAGGUGGUGAGCACUGCAUUGUGUAUCGCUUGUUCUGUAAAUAUAUAUACAUAUGAAGUUAUAAUUACUGUUAUUUCUCUCUUCCUUUUCUGUCUUAGUUUACCGUUUUUAUCUCAACACACAGUUCUAGAGCAUUGUUUCCAAAUUCUUAUCACCCGUUCCCCUCAAGAUGUCCAGCAUCCAGGAAGGAGUUUGUAAAAAGGUCGUAGAGCUGCCGGUUCAUCUGAAUAAGUGAAUCAAAACCUGCCUAAACAUCCAGCUGCUUGUGCAGACAUUGCUAAUUCAAUAUCAAGAUAUUUCUCUGGUGUUGUUUAUUGCUAAUUUUACCAUUAUUUAUGUUAAGAUGGGACACACCUGUUUGCCUGUGGAAAGACAGUGUGAAUUGGUUGCAACUCACUGCAAUGGAAAGGAAACCUCAACCACAGAAAGACAGCCUAAUGCAUCUUCUAAUACCAACCCUUUUUCACAUGAAAUAUCCUGCUAUUUUGGGCAAUGAAGCUGUGAAGGGUCUGGAACACAAAUCUUACAGGGAGUGGCUGUGGGUACUGGGAUUGUUCAGUCCGGAGGAGAGGAGGCUCAGGGGAGACCUUAUCACUCCCGAAAAAUCUCUGAAAGGAGGUUAUGGAAAGGUGGGCGUCAGGCUUUGCCUCCAGGUAAAAGCAAUAGAACAAUACCCUCCUAUGAGGAAAGGUUGAGGGAACUGGGUUUGUUUAGCUUGGAGAAGAGAAGGCUCCGGGGAGACCUCAUUGUGGCCUUUCAGUACUUGAAGGGAGCGCAUAAAUAGGAGGGGG